UGGUCGUGUUCUGUGAUGGUAGAUAGUC
rnacentral:sRNA from 1 species